GUUCAUGUGCGUUGCAGCCACAAUCCUUUUAGGCUGAUUGGAGUUGGGUUAUCUAUUUGGACAUUUGCCACAGCUGGGUGUGGUAGUUCAUUUAAUUUCUGGUCCAUUGCAAUAUGUCGCAUGCUGGUUGGAGUCGGUGAGGCAUCUUUCAUAAGUCUUGCAGCUCCGUUCAUUGAUGACCAUGCACCUGCAGAUCAGAAAUCAGCAUGGCUGGCAAUAUUUUACAUGUGUAUACUGACUGGAGUUGCUAUAGGCUAUGUUUCCAGCGGAUUUGUAAGUUUUUAGAUGUGGCAAGCUAUCUUCCUAUCUUUUUAAUAUAUAUGGAUCUUUGUUGUUUGAAUUUGGAAUGUCCUUUCCUUUAUAUUUUGAGUUGGUGUUGGAGCUUGUUAAUGGGAGGCUAAUCAAUAUAAUUUUAGAUAUAGGU